AUCAAGGGUGAAGUCAACAAGGUGUUUGCAAUUUGAACACAAAGUCUGAACAAGUGUAUUCUUCACAAUAACUUGUUGUAACACAAGAGUUCUCAAAUUUUUUAAUCGAGAGAAGUAUCUGGGUUUGACUAAGAGGCAGUUUUGUAGGUGCAAAUAGGUCACAGAAUCNUUGUUGUAACACAAGAGUUCUCAAAUUUUUUAAUCGAGAGAAGUAUCUGGGUUUGACUAAGAGGCAGUUUUGUAGGUGCAAAUAGGUCACAGAAUCAUUCUUAGGUAAGAGAAUAAGGGAAAAUUUGUAUGGCAAAAUAGAAAUAGUAGUAUCAGUUGUUUCAAAAGAGAAGAGAAGUUGAAUAUGUUCGGCACCCUUAGCAAUUCCUUUGGAGAUCAAUCUAU
rnacentral:lncRNA from 1 species